GAAGAGGCCUAAGGGAACCCUCCGAUAACGACGUGGCCUUGGAUUACAAGUAAUGGGACAUGAGAUUGGGAUACCGCCCUCUCCUUUUUUCUUUUCUUUUUUUCUUAAAACCUAGUAGAUGCUCAAUGACAUCUAUCCCAAAAUUGGGACCACUUUCCCCCUUUUUCCUUUGCUUGUCUUAAUUAUGAAUGGCAGUCUGGAUAUCAUAUUCUUGUCAACUAUUAUUUAUACAUUAAUUACCGACGUAUAUACCGAUUGAAUCAAAA
rnacentral:lncRNA from 1 species